rnacentral:snoRNA from 12 species
GAGCAAUGAUGAAAAGGUUUUACUACUGAUCUUUACAACUAUGAAGGUUUCUACACUUGAUCUGAGCUCA